rnacentral:lncRNA from 1 species
CCCCCACCUGCUUCCUUGUGCUGCCUACUUGGUGGCUGCAAGUGAACCCUCUUGGGGACAUCCUGUGGCCAUUUUCCAUUUCAUCUCCUGGCCACAGUGUGCCAGAUGCUUCCCACAGGUCCCUCUGGACUGUGCCAUGGCUCAGGAAGGGACACAGGGCUUGCUGAGCACGUUGUCCCUUCCUUGGUGUCUCCUUCACCAAGCAGGAGCUUUUUGUUUUCCAGCGCACAGCACAGCUGUGAUGGCCACCAAGGACACCUCAGCAGCCACCAGGAAAGCCUUGGUAGGAGCAGUGACCACCAAGAAGGUGGCUGUGACCACCAAGAACCCUUCAGUGGCCACCCACAAUGCUGCAGUGGUGGCGGCCACCAAGAAUGCCAUGGUGGUGGCCACCACCCAGAAUGCUGCAGUGGUGGCCACUGCCAACACCUCUGCGGCCACCAAGAACGCAUUGGCAGCCACCAAGGACACCUCAGCAACCACCAGGAGUGCCGUGGUGGUGGUGACUACCAAGGAGGCCUCGAUGGCCACCAAGAACAACUUGGUGGUGGUCAGGGCCACCAAGAAUGCAUUGGCAACCACCAAGGACACCUCAAUGGUGACCGUGGCCACCAAGAGCAACUCAAUGGUGACCAUGGCCAUCAAGAACACCUUGGCAGCCCCAAAGAAUACCAUGAUGGUGGUGGCAACUACCAAGGAGGCUUCAGCAGCCACCAAGAGCACCUCAAUGGUGACCAUGGCCACCAAGAACACCUCAGCAGCCACCAAGAAUGCCGUGGUGGUGGUGGCAGCUACCAAGGAGGCUUCAGCAUCCACCGGGAACAGCUCAGUGGUGGUGGUCACCAACAAUGCCACAGUGAUGGCCACCACCACCAAUGCCUCUCUGGUGGCCACCAACACCUCUAUGGAGGGAGCAGAGGAGACCAUGCAAACCUGCCAGAGCUUUCAGUGCUCAGGAGAGCGGUGUUACCAGGAUGGAGCCCAUGCCAACACAACAGCCACCUGCCAUAACCAGACUCACUGCCAGGUACGAG